rnacentral:rRNA from 1 species
UACAGAGGGGGCAAGCGUUGUUCGGAAUUACUGGGCGUAAAGGGCUCGUAGGCGGCCAACUAAGUCGGACGUGAAAUCCCUCAGCUUAACUGGGGAACUGCGUCCGAUACUGGAUGGCUUGGAUUUGGGAGAGGGAUGCGGAAUUCCAGGUGUAGCGGUGAAAUGCGUAGAUAUCUGGAGGAACACCGGUGGCGAAGGCGGCAUCCUGGACCGACACUGACACUGAGGAGCGAAAGCCAGGGGGGCAAACGGG